AGGUGCAGCUGCCAGAUCCUUCAGCGUCCGCAUCUCGGCGUCGCCCAGCGUAGCGUCGCCCGGCUCUCCGCCGCUCUCCCGGGGGUUCGGGGCACUUGGUUCCCACAGUCUGGGUGAGUGGUCGCAGCCCGGGGAGGGGGCUCCUUCUGGAGAGGGGAGCGGGGUCGCGGGGCACUGGAUUCGCGCGGACGCUCGGCUGAGAGCUGUCCUGGUAGCUGCGAGAGGGCGGGUCGUCCCCGUGGCGGGGCCCUCCGGGCUGUCUGAGCGCCGCCGGGUCCCCGCGGACCUGCGCUUGGGGAGGGCGCGAGUUGCGAUUGGCGCGCUAAGCCCGAGGUUUCUUCUCUUUUGCAGUCCUGCUUCACCUUCCCCUGACCUGAGUAGUCGCCAUGGCACAGGUUCUCAGAGGCACUGUGACUGACUUCCCUGGAUUUGAUGAGCGGGCUGAUGCAGAAACUCUUCGGAAGGCCAUGAAAGGCCUGGGCACAGAUGAGGAGAGCAUCCUGACUCUGUUGACAUCCCGAAGUAACGCUCAGCGCCAGGAAAUCUCUGCAGCUUUUAAGACUCUGUUUGGCAGGGAUCUUCUGGAUGACCUGAAAUCAGAACUAACUGGAAAAUUUGAAAAAUUAAUUGUGGCUCUGAUGAAACCCUCUCGGCUUUAUGAUGCUUAUGAACUGAAACAUGCCUUGAAGGGAGCUGGAACAAAUGAAAAAGUACUGACAGAAAUUAUUGCUUCAAGGACACCUGAAGAACUAAGAGCCAUCAAACAAGUUUAUGAAGAAGAAUAUGGCUCAAGCCUGGAAGACGAUGUGGUGGGGGACACUUCAGGGUACUAUCAGCGGAUGUUGGUGGUUCUCCUUCAGGCUAACAGAGACCCUGAUGCUGGAAUUGAUGAAGCUCAAGUUGAACAAGAUGCUCAGGCUUUAUUUCAGGCUGGAGAACUUAAAUGGGGGACAGAUGAAGAAAAGUUUAUCACCAUCUUUGGAACACGAAGUGUGUCUCAUUUGAGAAAGGUGUUUGACAAGUACAUGACUAUAUC
rnacentral:sRNA from 1 species